AGUACCCCGAGGAGAAGAAAUCAACCGAGAUUCCGGUAGUAGCGGCGAGCGAACCUGGAUUAGCCCUUAAGCACUCGAUGAAGUAGGUGAACAAGCUGGAAAGCUUGGCGAUACAGGGUGAUAGCCCCGUAACCGACGCUUCAUCGAGCGUGAAAUCGAGUAGGGCGGGACACGUGAUAUCCUGUCUGAAUAUGGGGGGACCAUCCUCCAAGGCUAAAUACUCCUGACUGACCGAUAGUGAACCAGUACCGUGAGGGAAAGGCGAAAAGAACCCCUGUGAGGGGAGUGAAAUAGAACCUGAAACCGUGUACGUACAAGCAGUAGGAGCACCUUCGUGGUGUGACUGCGUACCUUUUGUAUAAUGGGUCAGCGACUUAUAUUCAGUGGCAAGGUUAACCGUAUAGGGGAGCCGUAGCGAAAGCGAGUCUUAACUGGGCGCUCAGUCUCUGGAUAUAGACCCGAAACCGGGUGAUCUAGCCAUGGGCAGGUUGAAGGUUGAGUAACAUCAACUGGAGGACCGAACCGACUAAUGUUGAAAAAUUAGCGGAUGACUUGUGGCUAGGGGUGAAAGGCCAAUCAAACUCGGAGAUAGCUGGUUCUCCCCGAAAGCUAUUUAGGUAGCGCCUCGGACGAAUACUACUGGGGGUAGAGCACUGUUAAGGCUAGGGGGUCAUCCCGACUUACCAACCCUUUGCAAACUCCGAAUACCAGUAAGUACUAUCCGGGAGACACACGGCGGGUGCUAACGUCCGUCGUGGAGAGGGAAACAACCCAGACCGCCAGCUAAGGUCCCAAAGUAUUGCUAAGUGGGAAACGAUGUGGGAAGGCUCAGACAGCUAGGAUGUUGGCUUAGAAGCAGCCAUCAUUUAAAGAAAGCGUAAUAGCUCACUAGUCGAGUCGGCCUGCGCGGAAGAUGUAACGGGGCUAAGCAAUACACCGAAGCUGCGGCAAUGUCUUUUAGAUAUUGGGUAGGGGAGCGUUCUGUAAGCCGUUGAAGGUGAAUCGUAAGGUUUGCUGGAGGUAUCAGAAGUGCGAAUGCUGACAUGAGUAACGACAAAGGGGGUGAAAAACCUCCUCGCCGGAAGACCAAGGGUUCCUGUCCAACGUUAAUCGGGGCAGGGUGAGUCGACCCCUAAGGUGAGGCCGAAAGGCGUAAUCGAUGGGAAACGGGUUAAUAUUCCCGUACUUCUGACUAUUGCGAUGGGGGGACGGAGAAGGCUAGGUGGGCCAGGCGACGGUUGUCCUGGUUCAAGUGCGUAGGCUUGAGAGUUAGGUAAAUCCGGCUCUCUCUAAGGCUGAGACACGACGUCGAGCUGCUACGGCAGUGAAGUCAUUGAUGCCAUGCUUCCAGGAAAAGCCUCUAAGCUUCAGAUAGUCAGGAAUCGUACCCCAAACCGACACAGGUGGUCGGGUAGAGAAUACCAAGGCGCUUGAGAGAACUCGGGUGAAGGAACUAGGCAAAAUGGUACCGUAACUUCGGGAGAAGGUACGCUCUUGAUGGUGAAGUCCCUCGCGGAUGGAGCUGACGAGAGUCGCAGAUACCAGGUGGCUGCAACUGUUUAUUAAAAACACAGCACUGUGCAAAAUCGCAAGAUGACGUAUACGGUGUGACGCCUGCCCGGUGCCGGAAGGUUAAUUGAUGGGGUUAGCGCAAGCGAAGCUCUUGAUCGAAGCCCCGGUAAACGGCGGCCGUAACUAUAACGGUCCUAAGGUAGCGAAAUUCCUUGUCGGGUAAGUUCCGACCUGCACGAAUGGCGUAAUGAUGGCCACGCUGUCUCCACCCGAGACUCAGUGAAAUUGAAAUCGCUGUGAAGAUGCAGUGUACCCGCGGCUAGACGGAAAGACCCCGUGAACCUUUACUACAGCUUGGCACUGAACAUUGAACCUACAUGUGUAGGAUAGGUGGGAGGCUAUGAAGACGUGACGCCAGUUGCGUUGGAGCCGUCCUUGAAAUACCACCCUUGUAUGU
rnacentral:rRNA from 1 species